GCUUGCACAGGUGCUGGCAUGGCUGUCGUCAGCUCGUGUCGUGAGAUGUUCGGUAAGUCCGCUAACGAGCGCAACCCUCGCUGUGUGUUACAAGUGUCACACGGUACUGCCGGUCUUAAGCCGGAGGAAGGUGGGGAUGACGUCAAGUCAGCAUGGCCUUUAUGUCCUGGGCUACACACACGCUACAAUGGCCAACACAAUAGGUUGCUAAGCCGCGAGGUGGCGCCAAUCCAUAAAGUUGGUCUCAGUUCAGAUUGUAGGCUGCAACCCGCCUGCAUGAAGAUGGAGUUGCUAGUAACCGCAGGUCAGCUAUACUGCGGUGAAUACGUUCCCGGGGCUU
rnacentral:rRNA from 1 species